CCUAACACAUGCAAGUCGAACGGUAACAGGAAGAAGCUUGCUUCUUUGCUGACGAGUGGCGGACGGGUGAGUAAUGUCUGGGAAACUGCCUGAUGGAGGGGGAUAACUACUGGAAACGGUAGCUAAUACCGCAUAACGUCGCAAAACCAAAGAGGGGGACCUUCGGGCCUCUUGCCAUCGGAUGUGCCCAGAUGGGAUUAGCUAGUAGGUGGGGUAACGGCUCACCUAGGCGACGAUCCCUAGCUGGUCUGAGAGGAUGACCAGCCACACUGGAACUGAGACACGGUCCAGACUCCUACGGGAGGCAGCAGUGGGGAAUAUUGCACAAUGGGCGCAAGCCUGAUGCAGCCAUGCCGCGUGUAUGAAGAAGGCCUUCGGGUUGUAAAACG
rnacentral:rRNA from 1 species